rnacentral:rRNA from 1 species
UUUAUGGAGAGUUUGAUCCUGGCUCAGGAUGAACGCUGGCGGCGUGCCUAAUACAUGCAAGUCGAGCGAACGGACGAGAAGCUUGCUUCUCUGAUGUUAGCGGCGGACGGGUGAGUAACACGUGGAUAACCUACCUAUAAGACUGGGAUAACUUCGGGAAACCGGAGCUAAUACCGGAUAAUAUUUUGAACCGCAUGGUUCAAAAGUAAAAGACGGUCUUGCUGUCACUUAUAGAUGGAUCCGCGCUGCAUUAGCUAGUUGGUAAGGUAACGGCUUACCAAGGCAACGAUGCAUAGCCGACCUGAGAGGGUGAUCGGCCACACUGGAACUGAGACACGGUCCAGACUCCUACGGGAGGCAGCAGUAGGGAAUCUUCCGCAAUGGGCGAAAGCCUGACGGAGCAACGCCGCGUGAGUGAUGAAGGUCUUCGGAUCGUAAAACUCUGUUAUUAGGGAAGAACAUAUGUGUAAGUAACUGUGCACAUCUUGACGGUACCUAAUCAGAAAGCCACGGCUAACUACGUGCCAGCAGCCGCGGUAAUACGUAGGUGGCAAGCGUUAUCCGGAAUUAUUGGGCGUAAAGCGCGCGUAGGCGGUUUUUUAAGUCUGAUGUGAAAGCCCACGGCUCAACCGUGGAGGGUCAUUGGAAACUGGAAAACUUGAGUGCAGAAGAGGAAAGUGGAAUUCCAUGUGUAGCGGUGAAAUGCGCAGAGAUAUGGAGGAACACCAGUGGCGAAGGCGACUUUCUGGUCUGUAA